CUCCAUAAGUUGUAUUUGACACAAUCAGUCAUUGGCAUAACUUUACCAUAAUUGUUUUUGUCUCGUCAAGUACCAAUCAACAACUUCUGCAAUAGAUAUGACAAGUUCUGCCCAUUCUACAAAUUAGUUUGGAUGAUGCGUAACAUUAUUCACUUCAACACUUUGGCGAAUCAGGCCGUCGAGAGAGGAGCAGGUUCUGAUGGUCAAAAGAUCACUUAUAACAUCAUCAAGCAUUGAUUAGGUGACCUCUUCUAUCGAUUAGUGUCCCAAAAGUUUGAAGACCUUGCCGAAGGUGCAACAACUUGAAAGACACAAAGAUAUUGAUAAACACAUGAACCAUC